CCAAUGGGCUCCCAACAAGGACAGCUACCUGCAGACCCAGAAGCUGAGCCACCCGGACAUCCCCUUUAUAGACGAGAGCCCCGUCAAGUCUCCGCCCUCAGACCCGGACGCCCCGCCCCUUCCUGUCCGGCCGCAACCUGUCACCAAGAGGCACGGAACGUCCACCGCGUCCACAAGCAGCUAUGUUGAUGCAGACAACUUGAGAAAAUUAAAGGACAGUUAUGUGGAUGUGGGAGAAGCACCAUUGCCAGAGGAUGAAUACUCACUUGCUGAGGAAAUCAGACCAUUAGCAGGAAGGUAGGGGUUU